rnacentral:rRNA from 1 species
GUACGGGAGGCAGCAGUAGGGAAUAUUGCAUAAUGGGCGCAAGCCUGAUGCAGCAACGCCGCGUGUGCGAUGAAGGCCUUCGGGUUGUAAAGCACUUUUGGCCGGGAAGAGGAAGGACGGUACCGGUCGAAGAAGCCUCGGCUAACUACGUGCCAGCAGCCGCGGUAAAACGUAGGAGGCGAGCGUUAUCCGGAUUUACUGGGUGUAAAGCGCGUGCAGGCGGUUGGCUAAGUUGGGUGUGAAAGCUCCUGGCUCAACUGGGAGAGGUCGCUCAAGACUGGUCGACUGGAGAGCAGUAGAGGAAGGUGGAAUUCCGGGUGUAGUGGUGAAAUGCGUAGAUAUCCGGAGGAACACCAGUGGCGAAAGCGGCCUUCUGGACUGCAUCUGACGCUCAGACGCGAAAGCUAGGGGAGCAAACGGGAUUAGAUACCCCGGU